AAAGAAAUUAAUUAUCAAAUGCAUUGCUGGGAGGGUUGGAAUCGUGGGCAUGGUCACGUGCCAAUUUUUUGAGACCCCCCCCCUCCCACUUCAUCAGCUGCUAAUUUUUUGGAUUUUCAACUUUUUU